AGGAGAGAGAGUGGAGGGGAGAAGAGAAGGAGAGACAGAGAAUCACACAGGAGCUGCUGGUCAGUGCAGUGAUGCUGCUGCAGCAGAGAGGAGAGGGGCUGCAAAGGAAUGAACAAUAACAGACCAAACAGGGAGAACAUGGAAUGUUGUGGUGGAAUGCAGAAUGUUGUGGAGGAAUGCAGAAUGUGGGAUUGUCUGGAACGGACAUCAUUAAUGACAUGAAGACAAGUAUGGAGUGAGCCGAGGCAGUGUUGGACCGUGACAGUGUUUCCCUGGGUAUCUAGUUCCGUGACUGUCACUGUAACAGUGAGUCCCAGACGGAGGGGAGAUGUAUGCCUUCUACUCCCUGCUAGUUUACAUCUUCUACACUGUCUUCAAGAAGGAGGAGGAAGAAUCCCUGGGAGCUGCUCAGGGCGGAGCCUCAGCGGAGCCAGGACGUGUUUCCAUGGAAACAAGGAGCAGGAGGAUAAAAGGCCACACCCCCAGGAAGGAGAGGAAGAAAAGGGGGCGUGGCAGCAGGUUGAGUGACUCCAGCAGUAGCAGUGAUAGUGACGGCCUGUCCCUGAGUGAUGAAGAUGAUGGUGGAGGUGGUGAAGUGCCUGAUAUCCCAGCAUGCACUCCUCUGGGUGCCUUCCUGUCCUUUAAACAAGAGAACGAGAAAAGGAGGGAGGUCCAGGUGCAGCUGGAGACGGCAGGAAAGUUGAUGUCUGAGUCUCCCUUGGUGGCGGUGAUGUCCCACUUGCUGAGUUUUCUGGAGCAGUACUCCCACCUCCAGCAGCUGCAGCAGCAGGCUGAUCAGUACCGGGUCCAGCUGAAGAGGCACCGGGCCCAGCACCGCCGCCAGAUGAAGACCCUGAGGACAUCGUACCAUCAGAGGCUGAGAGAUAAGAACAGCGUCAUCGACAGCCUGGAGGAGGUCAUCACCACCCAGCAAUACACACCGAGCACCCCUGGGAGCGACGGUGAGUGUGGUGCUGAUGUCCCUGGUGCCGGGGCAGGGCUCCACAGGCUGGUAGAGUCUCUGUAUGGACUACAGGGAGAGAAGAGCCAGCUGAGGGGAGAACUACGGCUGCUGCACUCCCAACUGGAGCAGAGAGAACAGGACCGACACUCACGAGUACAGGUCUUCCAACAUCAGAUCGACGAACUGAAGAGCUGCAUUGAGGAGCGGGAGGAGGAGCUGUCCAGACUGAGAACGGACUCUGGAGCCACAGACUCGGAGAAGCGGGUUGUCUGUCUGUCAGCGGAGAACGAGAGUCUGAAACAGAGUCUGACUGUCACCCAGGGCCUCCUGCAGCAGCUCUCUGUCAUCCCCUCCCAGUCCAGCUCUGUACUCAUCAAGGAGAAUGAGAACCUGCGCAGCCGGGUGCAGCACCUGGAGAGUUCCCUGCAGCAGAGGGCUGAUCAGCUGUCUCACCUGGAGCGACAGAGCGAACAAAGCGAGUGGAGGAGAGGAGAGGAGCAGAGGAGAAGAGAGGAGAGAGUGAGGGAGCUGCAGCUAGAGCUGGAUAAAGAGAGGGCCAAAGAGCCACAGGUCAAGAUUGUUACUCAAACUGUGGAGGUGGAGUCACCGGCGACGCUGAGGCAGUUGGCUGAGGCCAGAGAGAGGAACGAGCAGCUUUCAGAGAAACUGACCAAUCAGAAUGAGAAGUGCAGACAACUGGAGGAGCACAUCAGGAAGUCAGAUGAAUUCAGCUGUAACCUGCAACACAAGAUUGCAGCGUACGAGCGGGAGAUCAGUGUACUGCAGGAGGAACUGCUGAAGGAGAUAGGUCACCUAGAGGAGAAGAAGGAGGAGGCUGUAAAGGCUGCAGCGACCUGCUCUGUAGAACACUUCCAGAGCCUGCAGGACCAGUUCUUUAACCUGCAGAAGCGUCUGACAGCGCUCCCUCCGACCCUGCGCACCAUGAAGACAGACUACGCCAGCCUGAGGAGCCAGGUCCGCAACUUCUCCGACUUCUACGGAGCAGCCAUCACCGACGCCAAGAAACAGAUAUCAGCAGCUAUGAGUGAGAUGUCGGAGGCCAACAAGGACCUCCUGGAGAAGUACAGGAAGGAGGUGGCACUGCGGAGGAAGUACCACGAGCAGCUGGUCGAGCUCAAAGGCAACAUCCGUGUGCUGUGCCGUGUGAAGCCGGUUCUGAAGGAGGACCAGCAUGAGGAGGGCCAAUCGGUGGUGGUAACCACGGACCCCAACAACGAAUCAGCUCUCUCCGUGCUGAAAGGGCAGGGCCGAAGCCAUGACUUUGAACUGGACCGUGUCUUCCACCCUCAGGCCACUCAGGAAGAGGUCUUCCAGGAGAUCGAGCCUCUUGUGACAUCCUGUAUAGAUGGAUAUCACGUCUGCAUCUUUGCCUAUGGGCAGACUGGCUCUGGGAAGACCUACACCAUGGAGGGCAGCACAGAGAACCCAGGCAUCAACCAGCGUGCUCUGAAACACCUGUUUAGUGAGAUAGAGGACAGGAAGGACAUGUGGACGUACACCGUGACUGUCAGCUCUGUGGAGAUCUACAACGAGGUGCUCAGAGACCUGCUGAGUAAGGAUGGAGAGAAGCUGGACAUUAAGAUCAACCCAGACGGAACAGGACAGCUGCACGUCCCUGGACUCCGGCUCAUAGAGGUCAAGAGCUUCCAACACAUCAAGAAACUUCUGGCGCAGGCGCGUCGUAACAGGAUCACCUUCGGGACCCAGAUGAACCAGCACAGCUCUCGUUCUCAUGCCCUCCUCAUGAUCACUGUGCUGGGGACUGACCUGGCCAGCGGGGCCAAGACCACAGGCAAGUUGAACCUGGUGGACCUGGCUGGCUCUGAGAGGGUCUGGAAGUCAGGAGCUGAGGGAGAGAGGCUGAAGGAGGCCCAGAACAUCAACCGCUCCCUGCUGGCUCUGGGGGACGUUAUCCAGGCUCUGAGGGGGAAGGAGAAACACAUCCCCUUCAGAAACAGUCGCCUCACAUACCUGCUGCAGGACUCACUGGGCAAGGGCAACAAGACGGCCAUGGUGGUGCAGGUGUCUGCUCUGGAGAGUAACGUGGGAGAGACCAUGUGUUCUCUGAAGUUUGCUGAGAGGGUUUGUAAGGUGGAGCUGGGGCCUGCAGCCAGGAAGAUACAGAGAGGAGGGGGAAGCCAUCAGUGUGACUAGAACUCCCCUUCCUGAAGUCAUCCAACUUCCUGUUCCCAUGGACGACCAGGACUCCAGGGACUCAACAGACACGCAGCCAACCAAAUACAUCAACAAGCAAUAACAACAACAAACAACCCCCUCUGCCCAGUCAGCCAGUCAGUCUAUCAGUUCACCAGUCAGCCAGCCAGUCAGUCAGCCAGUCAGUCUAUCAGUUCGCCAGUCAGCCAGCCAGUCAGUCAAACUAUCAGUCUGUUUGUCAGUCAGUCAGUAUAAAAGUUACCAGGUGUGUAUUCAGUGAGAUUAAAUAUUGAGAAUAUUGCAGAUUCUCUAGUCUACCCAUCAUAAUGUCUGUUCAUGUCAUGCACAGGAGGUUGGUGGCACCUUAAUUGGGGAGAACACAUGGUUUCCAGGUGUUUGAUGCCAUUCCAUUCGCUCCGUUUCGGACCUUAUUAUGAGCCGUCCUCCCCUCAGCAGCCUCCUGUGAUGUCAUGUCUGUUGAACGUUCUGUAACGUUACAUCCUCCUGAACAGACCCCAGUUGUAACGUUACAUCCUCCUGAACAGACCCCAGCUGUAACGUUACACUCUCCUGAACAGACCCCAGCUGUAACGUUACACCCUCCUGAACAGACCCCAGCUGUAACGUUACACUCUCCUGAACAGACCCCAGCUGUAACGUUACAUCCUCCUGAACAGACCCCAGCUGUAACGUUACAUCCUCCUGAACAGACCCCAGUUGUAACGUUACAUCCUCCUGAACAGACCCCAGCUGUAACGUUACACUCUCCUGAACAGACCCCAGCUGUAACGUUACACCCUCCUGAACAGACCCCAGCUGUAACGUUACAUCCUCCUGAACAGACCCCAGCUGUAACGUUACAUCCUCCUGAACAGACCCCAGCUGUAACGUUACACUCUCCUGAACAGACCCCAGCUGUAACGUUACACUCUCCUGAACAGACCCCAGCUGAGUCUAAAAUUAUCCUGAUAAAGAAGGGCUAUGACUUGAGGUCUCCGUGACAACGUCAUCAGGAUAACAGAUAAGAUUGAAGGGAUAGGAUGUCUCUACUGUCUCCCGUCUGCUCCUGUUCAGAUAAGAAGUCUCUACGGUCUCCUGUCUGCUCCUGUUCAGAUAAGAAGUCUCUACGGUCUCCUGUCUGCUGCUGUUCAGAUAAGAAGUCUCUACGGUCUCCUGUCUGCUCCUGUUCAGAUAAGAAGUCUCUACGGUCUCCUGUCUGCUUCUGUUCAGAUAAGAAGUCUCUACAGUCUCCUGUCUGCUGCUGUUCAGAUAAGAAGUCUCUACGGUCUCCUGUCUGCUGCUGUUCAGAUAAGAAGUCUCUACGGUCUCCUGUCUGCUGCUGUUCAGAAAAGGCCCGUGUCAUCAGCUCAUCUGCAUGAUGCACCAACCAGUAUGACAUCAUCAUCAACAACACACUAACCCGAGUGCCAAGACAACCUCUACCUUUGAAACUUCCUACUAGAACCACAACUAAACAAAAAAUGCUGUUUCCUUUGACUGAAUUGCCACGAGUUCUUCAUCAGGGGUUGUAUGUUUCAAGCAUCUCAGAAUAUGAGUGUUGGUAUAGGAUCAGGAAGUCCCUGUAGUUAUUAUAACAGUCUUCAUUAUGACCUGAGAGGCAAAACUGAUCCUAGAUCAGCACUUCUACUCAGAGACAUUUUGGGAAUACAGGCCUUGAAUGCUAUUUCCACCAUCACAAUGCUUAGAGAUGUUGCAUCUUAAUGAAACAUGUUCUCUAAGAGAGGAGUGUCACAGUAGAUACACAUCUGUGCUGUUCUAUUCUUACAGUAUUAAUUAUCAAGCUAUAUCUUCUAUAUGAUAACACGUGAGCUUCUUUGAUUCCAAUAUAGACAUGGCCUAUCUUAAAAAGGUACUGUAGUGUGUAGGAUCAAUCUGAGUUUUGUGUAAGUGAUGGAUUGGGCUGUACUAGCUCUGGUCCAGGGUGUUAGUACAGCUACCUUCAGGUAGUCUCUGGUCCAGGGUGUUAGUACAGCUACCUUCAGGUAGUCUCUGGUCCAGAGUGUUAGUGUGGCCUGCUGAAGUCUCAGCAGGGGGCAUGUUACCUCCAUGGACCAGAGUGAAGGCUAUACCUACUUUCAAUGAUGACCUAUAUCACAAAAUGUGUCAUUAUUGUGAAGUUGGAAAAAGCGGUUUGUGGGUGUUAUCGUAUCUCUCUCAUACGGCCUAAUUCACUGGCUUUCAGUGAAGUGAGCAAUUACCUCUUUGCGUCCCAAAUGUUACCCUGUUCCCUAUAUAGUACCCUACUUCUGACCAGGACCCUAUGGGCCCAGGGGUGCUAUUUGGAACGCAGACGGAGAGUGAAGUAGGUAGCUAGCCCUGUGUGACAAUAUGAUAAAUAACAAAGUGCUGUUAUAAUAUGUGCAAUGCAGAUGUAGGAUGUUAGAUCACCCUGUUGCAGGAGAACCAUCCUGCAAUGCAGAUGUAGGAUGUUAGAUCACCCUGUUGCAGGAGAACCAUCCUGCAAUGCAGAUGUAGGAUGUUAGAUCACCCUGUUGCAGGAGAACCAUCCUGCAAUGCAGAUGUAGGAUGUUAGAUCACCCUGUUGCAGGAGAACCAUCCUGCAAUGCAGAUGUAGGAUCUUAGAUCACCCUGUUGCAGGAGAACCAUCCUGCAAUGCAGAUGUAGGAUGUUAGAUCACCCUGUUGCAGGAGAACCAUCCUGCAAUGCAGCUGUAGGAUCUUAGAUCACCCUGUUGCAGGAGAACCAUCCUGCAAUGCAGAUGUAGGAUCUUAGAUCACCCUGUUGCAGGAGAACCAUCCUGCAACGUAGGAAACAUAAAACUUGUAAUGUAUUUGUCAUUUCCAUUCAUGACUUGAUUUUCCAUUAUGAGCAAUGUAAUCAACCCUUACAAAAAAAAAGUCCAUUAAUUAUAAUCCACCGAAUAAUUCACAUCUCCUGUUGCUACGGGAUUAUUUUCCUGCUGUAGCAACCUGGCUCAAAUUAAGAUCCUACAUCUGUAGCCUCCUUUGAUAGAGAAACUUGGUGUGUUUCGGGGACUGGUGGGAAGCACUUUGUGCUUUUCAGGCCAAUUUAGGUGCUUUAGAUGUAUAAUUAGUGAAAUAUCAUCAUACCAAAAAUGUCUUUGUUCAUUGUAGUCUGUUUUCCAUCGUAGUUGAACCCGACAGUCAACUGUUGGGUUAAUAGUAUAUUUUAUGUCAAUAGAGUAGCAAUGCAUUUCCUGUUGCAGUAACUUAUUAUACAAGUGGAUUAGGGUCACUUUACAAUCUGAUUGGUUAAGGAUCAGUUUUCAGCUGAUUUUCAAAAUAAAUUUGGAAUGAAAAUAAAAUGUGGGGGAACUCCU